AUGAGAGAGAGCGAGAGCUGCUCCCCCCCCCCGCGUCCGGCAACCCACCAGCCCCUCCCGGCGCGUGCCAUUCCGGGCUCGCCGGCCACCAUUAGCUCGCUCUCUCUGCGCCCGUUUCAGCUGCCGCCGCCGCCGCCUCGCCUGCCAAAAAAUUUCUCCCCGGUCGUCGUCCCACUGUCGCCCCUGGCCGAGCCAGAUCUGGAUCCGGCGCUGGACGCCGCGGACUCGGAUCCGCCCUCCCCGGCCUCGCGCGCGCGGAUCCAGGCUGCUGCGUGUGCGGGCGAGGUUCUGGAGACGCCGCCUAACCUUCAAGGCGGGGGUGUGCGCGUCGCAUCCAUCGUUGUCGCGCCCGACGCGGCUCUGCGGCGCAUUCAAGAUGAGGCCGCCUUUAAUGCGGCGGGCUGCCCGGGCGGCGAUGGGACGCCGCUGCGUCGUCAGGCCGCGCCGCCCGCUGCAAACGCCGCCCGCGCACGGCGCCUUGAAGACGGCGUACGGGAUGCCCCCCUGGAGCCUGGCUGGACGCGCGUCGGGCCGCCGCCCGGUCCCCGCCCGCAGCGACAGCCUACUCUGCCCCCUGCUCCCCUUGCUCAUCGAAGGCGCCUUCAANUCCCCCGGCAUCUGCUUGGCAAGUGCUUCCACUGCUUCUCCCCUCUACACAAAGCAAAGGACUGCACGGAGGAGGUGAGGUGCAACAGCUGCUUCAGAUCCGGCCACCGCGCAAAAGGCUGCCCAAGCAGGGCACGACCGGCUCAUCUCCAGGCGCGGGCGACCUUUCCUCCUACGCCUCGUCCGGCCGCGUCGUCGUCGGCGGCUAGCAGACCACCGGGCUUCCCUGCUGCGACUGCGACUCCGGCGCCCCUUCUCCGAUCCUACCGCGACGCCCUCGUCAUGCCAAGGCUAGGUGACCCGCACUCCAGGCCGGCCAUGGGGCGGGUGGUCGCGCCGACCACGCCUGAGAUGGAGGUGCAAGCUGCCGCCCUCACCACCAACUGCGUCCUCAUCACUCUGGGAGGUGACCGCCGUCCAGCUCCAACUUCAUCCGUCGCCGAGGCGCUGCACAAGGAGUUCAACAUCCCGCUGUCCAUGGUCACUGUCGUUCGACACUUCCCCGAGGACUACCUUGCAACGUUCACGCAUCCUCACCACCGCGACGACGUCGUCAACAGAGGAAACUUUCGGCGCGGCCACCUCGAGCUCCACCCCAAGCCCUGGAUCAUGGAGGCCCAUGCCGAGCACGAAGACAUGAAGCAUCACGUGCAGCUGAGCCUGGAGGGCGUCCCGCUGCAUGCCUGGAACUCCGACACGAUCAGCCGUGUCAUCGGCGUCGACUGCGAGCUGGACUAUGUCCUGCCCCGCUCCACGCGCCAGGAGGAUGCCAGGACGCUGGGCAUCUGGGCUUGGGCGACAAACCCAUGUGCCAUCCCGCGCGUCAUGCACCUCACGCUGCCGGCGAGGCGUGGCCCGCAGCGGGUGCCGGCACGGGGGAGGCGCCGUCUUCGAUACCGCGUCAUCAUCCACUUGGGCCUCCACGAGGACUUCUCCAACGUACGCGACNNNNNNNNNNGCGACUCCAGAGCCAGCGCAGACAUCUACGAGCACACAUGGGUCCAUGGCAUCGUCGACGGCGACCGUGUGCCGACGGAGCGCCGGGAAGAGCCCCGGGACGACCUGGGGCGUGGACGGCGCCGCGACGACGAAGAUGACGAUGCCGCGCGUCGUGGACGCGGCGAGGCGCGCGAGCUUGACGGCCGGGGCUCGAGGUGGUUCGGCCGCAGCCGGUCUCGCGCCUCCCGUGAUGAGACUCGUGACCGCGGCGGCGACCAAGGCCGCGGCGCCAACGACGGUCGUGUGGGGCGCGAUGGCCAUCGCCGCCGGGGUUCUGCGGUGGAUUCUUCGGCGAGUCCAGUGCGCAGCCCUCGCGGCGGCUCUUCCCGCUGCACCCACCCCCUCGACGCGGCACGCUCCACAUCCCCAACAUCGGUUCUCCCAACCCCGCCGUCGCCUGUGGACGCGAUCACCCCGAGCUUCAGCAUCGCCCUGCAACUCCUGGCGCCCCUAUCGCCCUCUGCUGUGGUGGCCACGACAACUCCUCCACGUCCGCCUGGCUUUGAGGAGUCUCCGGCUCAGGUCACGCCUCCCCUGGCCUCCGGCGUGCUCGCUAGCCCCACCCCCUCGCCAGCGAGCAACUCCAACAACAUACUGGCGCCCCUCUUUGUGCUGCCAGAGGCUCCGAUCUUGCCUGGGCCUGUCCGUGCCCCGCCCGGGAACCGUGCAAACCGGAGAAAGACGAUGGCUGGCGUGGCCAUUGACCCGGGGUUCUCCCUGCGCCGCACCACUACUCAUGCCAAGGAGCGUCGUGUUGCUGUUCCGGUGACGAGGGAGGCCGAGAAGCUGGUUUGUCGGAGCCUCGGGAUAGUCCAAGAUGGCAAGGAUGUCACCAAAGACGCUCUGGAAGAGCUGAGUCGCCGCUUCCAGCACGAAUUGUCGCCCUCGGUUCUGUCCGCGCUCCGGGCAUUGUUCAAGCUCGACGACGACGAAGCCACAGCGAUUGAAGACGCCCUGAUCAGCCGCGGAGGUCAGGCUGCCAUGGACCACGAGAUUGUUGCUGCUGAUGCAACAGGAGAGGUCUGA
rnacentral:rRNA from 1 species